GUGAGUAGUUCAGAGUUUGAUCCUGGCUCAGGACGAACGCUGGCGGCGUGCCUAACACAUGCAAGUCGAACGGGGUUAAGUCUUCGGAUUUAACCUAGUGGCGAACGGGUGAGUAACGCGUGAGAAACCUGCCUUUCAGUGGGGGACAACAGUUGGAAACGACUGCUAAUACCGCAUAAUGUUAUUUGGGGGCAUCCCUGAAUAACCAAAGAUUUAUUGCUGAAAGAUGGUCUCGCGUCUGAUUAGCUAGAUGGCGGGGUAACGGCCCACCAUGGCGACGAUCAGUAGCCGGUCUGAGAGGAUGAACGGCCACAUUGGGACUGAGAUACGGCCCAG
rnacentral:rRNA from 1 species